AUUACCACUCGUACCCACCGGUUCCUGCGAGCCACCCGCACUCGCCUGACGACCGCUCGCGACGUUUUGUUAGCU
rnacentral:sRNA from 1 species